rnacentral:rRNA from 1 species
GUAUGGGGAUCUGCCCGAUAGAGGGGGAUAACUACUGGAAACGGUGGCUAAUACCGCAUAAUGUCUACGGACCAAAGCAGGGGCUCUUCGGACCUUGCACUAUCGGAUGAACCCAUAUGGGAUUAGCUAGUAGGUGAGGUAAAGGCUCACCUAGGCGACGAUCUCUAGCUGGUCUGAGAGGAUGAUCAGCCACACUGGGACUGAGACACGGCCCAG